rnacentral:pre_miRNA from 1 species
AAAGUACUCCCUCUGUCCGAAAAUACUUGUCACAGAAAUGAAUAAAAAUGAACGAAAAUACAUCUAGAUACAUCCAUUAUUAACCAUUCCUUUGAUAAGUAUUUCUGAACGGAGGGAGUAGUAU